AAUCCAAGUUUAGUGGUAUUAAAUGGAUUUAUGAUCAUCUGGGAUGUAAUUGCUAUUACCCGGUGGGGUAUUCCUUUCCAGGCUCUUUUAAGGUCUGAUUGGUCAAACCUUCUGGCUAUGUUUUGGCUUGGUGAUGGAGGGACUAUGAUGUGUGUAAAUUGAGUAGCUUCAGGUGUUUUGGAUGAGCCCUUGUGAACUUUGAAGAUUCCGGGAUGCAGUUGGAGUUGAAAUGAAGUUUGUUUCUAAAAUAUUUGGUGCAGUAGGCGAAGCACAUGGUGCAUUGCCAUUUCUUGUUGGAUUGUCAACUGGAUUCUAG
rnacentral:lncRNA from 1 species